UACGAAGGGUGCAAGCGUUGCUCGGAAUUACUGGGCGUAAAGGGUGCGUAGGCGGUUGUUUAAGUCUGGUGUGAAAGCCCCGGGCUCAACCUAGGAAUGGCAGUGGAUACUGGACAGCUAGAGUGCGGGAGAGGGUAGUGGAAUUCCCGGUGUAGCAGUGAAAUGCGUAGAGAUCGGGAGGAACACCAGUGGCGAAGGCGGCUACCUGGACCAGCACUGACACUGAAGCACGAAAGCGUGGGGAGCAAACAGG
rnacentral:rRNA from 1 species